UUAAGAGGCCAACAGAAAUCUGAUCUGUGAUGGUAAAUGAGCGUGUCUCUUUAAGACAGGAGUUGUGUGAACAGACUGAAGUGAUCUUCUGAGAGAGUAGGACUAGAAAUGUUCAGACAUCUCCAGAAAUAAUAACCAAAGGAGGCGUCUCUCUCUCUGGGCUUGUCUACCUUUCAACACGUCGCUGCAGUUUUUGCCAAAUGCUUAAAUGGCAGAUAUAUCUGACCACCGACAGCUUUCAGCCGCACGAGGACCCUGAUCAAGAGGCGUGGCUUUGGACACUGAUUAUUCCGGGAGACGCUCCACCAGCAGACCCAUCCUUUCUGUGAGCUGAGCAGCACCGCGCCGCUCCUCGGAGGACUCCGCUGGGCUCGUCUCUGCAGGAACAGCAGCUUGUGGACGGGCAGACGAGCUCUACACACACACCACAUCACUCCAUCAACUAAUACACCAGAAACAGUCGUAAAAACCAAAACAAGAAUCGUGUGAUGGGUUUCUGCAGAGCCAGGCUCCAUACGAUGAUCUCUCCAUCAUAACUCCCAGUAGCCAGAAGUCCCAGACCUGGACAGUGAUCCAUGGCCAGGAUAUCCUCGGCGUGCUGACGACCGGACU